rnacentral:rRNA from 1 species
AUUGAACGCUGGCGGCAGGCCUAACACAUGCAAGUCGAGCGGAUGAAGGGAGCUUGCUCCUGGAUUCAGCGGCGGACGGGUGAGUAAUGCCUAGGAAUCUGCCUGGUAGUGGGGGAUAACGUCCGGAAACGGGCGCUAAUACCGCAUACGUCCUGAGGGAGAAAGUGGGGGAUCUUCGGACCUCACGCUAUCAGAUGAGCCUAGGUCGGAUUAGCUAGUUGGUGGGGUAAAGGCCUACCAAGGCGACGGUCCGUAACUGGGCUGAGAGGAUGAGCAGUCAAACUGGAACUAGGAACGCGCCCAACACCCUACGGGGAGCAAAGGUGGGGAAUUUGGGAAAAGGGGCGAAAUCCUACUCCAGCCAUGCCGGGGUGUUGAAAAAGGGUUUCGGUUUUUAAAACCUUUUAAGUUGGGAGGAAGGGCAGUAAGUUAAUACCUUGCUUUUUUGACGUUACCAACAAAAAAAGCCCCGGCUAACUUCUU